UGCUGUUGUUUGGACAGAUGAUGUGGCAACAUAUAUGAGCUCUCCUCGUAUUUUUUUAUUUUCUUAUUUUUUCUAAUUUUUCAAAUAUUAUUUCAUUUUUACCAAUUUUUUCACAUUUAAUUAUACUAAAACAAUAUAACAGCCCAUAACCGUAUUUUUGUAUUUACUAUUCUUUUUGGAACAAUUAUUACAAUAUAACAACUGUAGGAUUUUUAUUCCUAAUAUAUCACCUACACACAGCAAAGACUAGUCAAAAGUAAUGGUCAAAUCUGACCUUUAAAACCAGUCAAAGCCCUCUUUUGACACCCUGUGAUAUAACCCCUACGACAACCCCUUAAAUCUAUAUACUACAGGUCGUAUAUUAAAUGUUCUGAAACCCUAAAGCAUUUAUCACAUAUAUAUAUAUAUAAUCUCUUUUCCUUUCAAACACUCACAGCCACCACUAUCAAAAACCUAGCAGAUAAUUAAACGGCCCUUCUUCUUCAAUGUUCUUCUCUGAAGAACAUGAAGAACAACCACAAAACCCACUGCCCAGAAAAUAGAAAUUAAACCCCAGAAAAAUAACCCCUUCCUAAACCGAUUAUAACCCUAUAAAUCCCAAGCAGAAAAAUAACAAACACAGUAUAGAAAUUGCAGAAAGUUUAAAGGAAAGAAUGCACCAUGGAUUUUAUAGAGGUUCCCCAAUGAAAUCUGGGUACGUCCUCUUGAGCUCGCCUCUUCCACUAUAGAUCUUCAAUGAUCAAGAGAUUACACAGCAAGGAUUCCAACUCACAACAUUUUGAGAGGUAAUCCGAAUAUAUAUAUGUAUAUAUAUACAGUGUUUAUUCCUCUAUUUUUCCUCUCUCUGUUUCUCUCAAAAUCAAUACUAACAAUGUUGUGUUUAUCUUCUUCUUUUCAUGAACAACACUCUCUGGCCAUGGAUAUCCGAACCACCACCUUGGUUCCAAAGCUUACUCCAUAGUAAGCCUCCUCCAAGACCCCGAAAUCAGUCGGUUACAGAUCUGAUCUUGUUAUUGUGCCUUGUUUGGCUCUGAUACCACUGUAGGAUUUUUAUUCCUAAUAUAUCACCUACACACAGCAAAGACUAGUCAAAAGUAAUGGUCAAAUCUGACCUUUAAAACCAGUCAAAGCCCUCUUUUGACACCCUGUGAUAUAACCCCUACGACAACCCCUUAAAUCUAUAUACUACAGGUCGUAUAUUAAAUGUUCUGAAACCCUAAAGCAUUUAUCACAUAUAUAUAUAUAUAUAAUCUCUUUUCCUUUCAAACACUCACAGCCACCACUAUCAAAAACCUAGCAGAUAAUUAAACGGCCCUUCUUCUUCAAUGUUCUUCUCUGAAGAACAUGAAGAACAACCACAAAACCCACUGCCCAGAAAAUAGAAAUUAAACCCCAGAAAAAUAACCCCUUCCUAAACCGAUUAUAACCCUAUAAAUCCCAAGCAGAAAAAUAACAAACACAGUAUAGAAAUUGCAGAAAGUUUAAAGGAAAGAAUGCACCAUGGAUUUUAUAGAGGUUCCCCAAUGAAAUCUGGGUACGUCCUCUUGAGCUCGCCUCUUCCACUAUAGAUCUUCAAUGAUCAAGAGAUUACACAGCAAGGAUUCCAACUCACAACAUUUUGAGAGGUAAUCCGAAUAUAUAUAUGUAUAUAUAUACAGUGUUUAUUCCUCUAUUUUUCCUCUCUCUGUUUCUCUCAAAAUCAAUACUAACAAUGUUGUGUUUAUCUUCUUCUUUUCAUGAACAACACUCUCUGGCCAUGGAUAUCCGAACCACCACCUUGGUUCCAAAGCUUACUCCAUAGUAAGCCUCCUCCAAGACCCCGAAAUCAGUCGGUUACAGAUCUGAUCUUGUUGUAUUGUUCUUUCUCUGAUAAUAUUGUUGUACUGAUCUUGUGUUUUUAUAUUUCUCUGAUUGUUGUUCUGAACAUCAUAUUGAUCUGGUCUGUUUUUGAUGUUAUAUAUAGAUGUUGUAAUUUUCUCC